GAUCCUCGGUAGCGAAGGGCUGGAGGCAAACACCGAGCUCCCCCUGAGCCGCCUGGGAGCAGGGAGGGUUCUGCUACCCUGAGGGGCCCUCCCCGCGGGGCAGAGGAGGCUGUUGGGAAGGUGGGAUGACCUAGGAUUGACCUUGGACUUGACAUCACAGAAGCCAUUUCAACCUUCACAGGGUUUCCUCAGCAGUGCCCCGGAGCAGGGACCGCGCCAGCCAGCAGAAACAGCUAGUUGUUGUCUGCAGUGAAGAAUAAUUGGAAGCAUGGUGCCUGUUUCUUUUCCUAGGAGUGUUCCACUGACUGACCUCUUUUUGUUUUCAAAUGAAGAGGAGCCAAGAAUAGGACAGCUUGGGAAGGUGAGCUGCGUAUAGCUCGUCAGGCUGAGCUCAUCCUCGUCUACGGCCAAACGUUGGUUUCUCAUUUCUAGAAGAUGAAAGAUGUGAUGACUCAGGAAAAACUGGAAUCUUAGUAACUGUGGUGGGCAUUGAGCCUUGCCGUCCACAAGAGAAAGCUUGCUGCUCGAGAUGUGAGUCUUCAGAUGUUCCUGCCGCCAUAUCUGACAGCUGCUGCCAAGAUUCCCUGGUGGGAUGGACUCUUAUACCUCAACAACCAGAAGCCCAAGUAAACUCUUCUAUAAAUUGAAUGACUCAUGCUUAAAAAAAAAAACAAAAAACAAACUAUCUU
rnacentral:lncRNA from 1 species